AGAGUUUGAUCCUGGCUCAGGACGAACGCUGGCGGCGUGCCUAACACAUGCAAGUCGAGCGAAGUGUUUGAAGCUGAUUCUUUCGGGAAGAAGUUUCAAAUAUCUUAGCGGCGGACGGGUGAGUAACGCGUGAGGAACCUGCCUUCCACAAGGGGAUAGCCUCGGGAAACUGGGAUUAAUACCCUAUGACACUUAUUUACUGCAUGGUAGAUAAGUUAAAGCGAAUUAGCGGUGGAAGAUGGCCUCGCGUCCCAUUAGCUAGUUGGUGAGGUAACGGCUCACCAAGGCGACGAUGGGUAGCCGGCCUGAGAGGGUGAACGGCCACACUGGAACUGAGACACGGUCCAGUCUCCUACGGGAGGCAGCAGUGGGGAAUAUUGCACAAUGGGCGAAAGCCUGAUGCAGCGACGCCGCGUGAGUGAAGAAGGCCUUCGGGUCGUAAAACUCUGUCCUAAGGGACGAUAAUGACGGUACCUUAGGAGGAAGCCCCGGCUAACUACGUGCCAGCAGCCGCGGUAAUACGUAGGGGGCGAGCGUUGUCCGGAAUUACUGGGCGUAAAGGGUGCGCAGGCGGCUCAUUAAGUCAGAUGUGAAAGGCUACGGCUCAACCGUAGUAAGCAUUUGAAACUGAUGAGCUUGAGUUAAGGAGAGGAAAGUGGAAUUCCUAGUGUAGCGGUGAAAUGCGUAGAUAUUAGGAGGAAUACCAGUGGCGAAGGCGACUUUCUGGCCUUUAACUGACGCUGAGGCACGAAAGCGUGGGGAGCAAACAGGAUUAGAUACCCUGGUAGUCCACGCCGUAAACGAUGAGUGCUAGGUGUUGGAGGGAUUACCCUUCAGUGCCGCAGCUAACACAUUAAGCAUUCCGCCUGGGGAGUACGGUCGCAAGACUGAAACUCAAAGGAAUUGACGG
rnacentral:rRNA from 1 species